rnacentral:tRNA from 1 species
GCGGUGGCUGAGUGGUAAAGCGCUUGGCUUCCGAAACCAGGGGUCCCGGGUUCGAAUCCUGGUGCA